CAGCCGCCGCGGUAAUACCGGCCCCGCGAGUGGUCGGGGUGCUUAUUGGGCCUAAAGCGUCCGUAGCCGGGCUGGUAAGUCCUCCGGGAAAUCUGGUCGCUUAACGAUCAGACUUCCGGAGGAUACUGCUGGCCUAGGGACCGGGAGAGGCCGAGGGUAUUCCCGGGGUAGGGGUGAAAUCCUGUAAUCCCGGGAGGACCACCUGUGGCGAAGGCGCUCGGCUGGAACGGGUCCGACGGUGAGGGACGAAGGCCAGGGGAGCGAACCGGAUUAGAUACCCGGGUAGUCCUGGCUGUAAACGAUGCGGACUAGGUGUCGGGCAAGCUAAGGGCUUGUCCGGUGCCGCAGGGAAGCCGUUAAGUCCGCCGCCUGGGGAGUACGGCCGCAAGGCUGAAACUUAAAGGAAUUGGCGGG
rnacentral:rRNA from 1 species